AUGAUCUAAGUGAGAACAUGAGCCUUUAAAAAGGCUCUUCUGAGGCUGCUGCCAGUGGUCAAAGCCUCCAACAAAGCUCUGUAAGUAAAUCUGUGAUCAUAGCUUUAGUUUUUAAAUGUUUAUCCUAGUUAACACAGAUCAGGUGGAACAACUCAAAUCAAAUAUCAAAAAUAUUAAGUGGUCAUUGGUACUCAGUUUGUUCAAUGCUGAAUACAUUGGAGCACAAAUUGUCCACAUUUCUGAAAUAUUUCUGUGUGUAACUGUUACCAAUUUAUACCUGGCUGUGGUUGUUAUCUAAGUGAUAAUCAUCAAUUCUACUAAAACAAAUACAAAAUAAAUAAAUGUGACACAUUUUGUUGAUAUCAAAAGCACACUGAACAGUUCAGUGUUGUUUUACUGCUGUUCUCUCUUCACUUCUUCUCCUCUGAUUCUCUCCACAUGUUGCUCUGCAUCAGUGCUCAGUUUCCUGACAAAAACAAGACUGAGUCACUGUGACCUGUCAGAGAGAAGCUGUGAAGCUCUGGCCUCAGCGCUCAGCUCUCAGCUCUCAGACCUCUAAUCUGAGACAGCUGGACCUGAGUAACAUCAACCUGAAGGAUUCAGGCGUGAAGCUUCUGUCUGAAGGACUGAAGAGUCCACACUGUACACUGGAAACUCUCAGUCUGUCAGGCUGUCUGAUCACAGAGGAAGG